AACCAUAAAAGAAUAAAAAAUGUCAGGUACAUUUGGAUCCAACAUGUAAGGGUUUUAUGGUUCCCUUUCAAGGAACGCAGCAACCACACUGGUGUUUUGUGAUGCUCCAAGCUCACGUGCUUGGAAGCAGUUUUGUCUUAUCGCAAUUAAUAGGGCACAUAGUUCUGGCAUUAUUAAAAAAAAAAAAAAAUUUAAAUCAAAAGCAAAUGUUAAUUGGCGAUACAGGAUUUUUUUUUUUUUAUAUUUAGUAUGGACAGUUGGACAUGUGUUUCCCCAUACACUGAGAACAUGGGAGGACUUUAUCAUUGUACGACUAAGGGUGUUAUAUACAUCUGAAACACGUCACAGGAGGUGCGUUUUUGUGUGCACUAUGCGUUUGGCAUACCUGGAUUUUAUGACUAUUUUUCAAUAAAGUAUUCCAUUGUUUUAUCUGGAGGCUGGAAUGAACUUUCUUUUCAAGUUUGACUUCAUCAUUGUAGGUAUAUUUGAGGUUAGUUUUAGAUUGGAGUUGCUGUGUUCACCUGUGUCAAAUUUAGGAAAAUGACUUUUUUAAAAAAACUACACAUCUCAAAAGUGAUCUAGUUUGAAAUUCUGACCAAAAUUUUCACCCCAAAUAUGGGGCACAGUGCUCAAAAAGUUGCAAAAUGUGUGCAAGUAAACCCCAGAAAAUGGCAAAGCCCCUACUUGUGAAUUUUUGAAGCGAGAAUUAUGGCAUGCAGGGCUAAAUUGACCCCAUGAGAAAAAAAAAUAAAUAAAAAAAAAUAACUGUACAGUGGAAAACUUGCAGAUGGCGAAGUGCGAUUUACCACCUUGUAUUACAAGCCAACAUUUUCAGAACAGAAGAUUGAAAAUGGUUACCUAGUACUAAAACUAACAUGCUCGGAACAGAAUUUUUUUUGCACAGUAACCAUUUCAUUGUGCACGAAGCAAAUGCAAGUACACUACACCAGUGACGAGUGUAAAAAUACAGGCUUAUUUAACAAACAUAUGAUUGUUAAAGCACUUUUUAAACUAUACCUUUGCAUUGCCUCCUAGAAAUAUGUACAAUUUACUAGAAAUAGUUUUUCAGAUUAUUUUUUAAAUAUAUAUUAUUGUUGAACAGGGUCCAAACAUUACAUUAAAAAUAACUUUAAAAAUUAUAUACUAGGGAAAAUAGCACAAGGAAAAAAAAAACAGGACACAUUAAUUACUAUAAUGAUCAUGUCUUUAUAAAAUCAUUUAGUUAGAACACAAAAUAUAAAACACUGAAACCCUGCUUUAAAAAAAAAAAGUCUUCCCAUUAAAACAGGAGGCCAAAAUCUUCAUCACUUCUAUCCUUGCGGCAUGAUGCGGUCAUACAAAGGUUAAAGAAUGCUAGGUGUCUACAUGACUCCAGGGUAGCCGACAGUAACAUUUCUUACAAAUGCCAUUU